CUCCGGGUGAUGCCUUCUUCCGCCUCGGCCUUCAGGGUGGCCUUUCUGCGAGCGUCCGUGCGUGUGCGUGUCCAUGAAUAAAUCUUAGCUUGUCUCGGCAAGCUGGGUGCGAGUCCCUUGUUUGUUUUUUGUAUGAUUAUUACCAGUGUGCAUGCGUUGUUGUUUCUUGUUGGGUUUAUGGGAUUAUCCCGGCCGGUCAAUCCUUCUCUCAUGUAGUAAGAUUUUAUUUUGGGCAAAUCAUGAAUGUUGUAUGCUUGUUCUCUCAGGCACUCACCCGCUCUGUAUACAAUUGGACAUGCAUGUCACAUGGUACCUGUAGGUGUUGUGUGCAUACUACACUUCCGUGUGAUCGCGCCAUGUGCAGUGGCAGCUUUUUUUUUUUUGAGACAAAUGUGCAGUGGCAGCUGACACCCGGCGUUACGCAUGCGCAAGGACCGCUGCUAGACCUGAGCAUUUCUUGGGCCGGGCUUUAAAAAGCCCAGCCCCGCAAAUCUAAUCCUGAGCCAUGCCCGGUCCAGAAUAAACGAACACUAAUCCUCAAAAGCAUAAAAUAAAAAUAAAAUAAACGAACACUAUUCUAUUUUUCUAUCCUUUUUCGGGUAAUGAAUAGUACUUAUCUUCUAUUGAAAUUAAUUAAUUUUGUCAUUUUCAAAAUAUAUUCAUAUAUUAGUAUGUUUUAGAAUGAAAUCAUAUUUUUAAUACUAGCACAAAUGCCCAUGCGUUACAGCGGGAGAGAAAAAACACCACAUCACUAACCCAAUGACCCAUCACGAGACAUGACGACAUCAACAAACUCCUUGAAAUCCUCCACGCUGCCACGAGAGAAACAACAUGUAAAGAUGUGUUGCGAAAAAACUUAAUCCUGUUAGUAUUUCAUAAAUGUACUAUAGGUGCAUGCAAUUUGAACCACAUAAAUAUCUACCUAGUUGUGUGUAUCUCCGAACGUCUUUGAUGGUAUUGCUUAGUGAUGCCCAAUAAAUAUCAUAUUAUAUCAAAAAAUGGUAAAGUGCAUUUUAGUACAACGUCCUUGUUUUACUAUGGAGGUGACACCAAUUUCCAUGAACCAGUGUCGGCCAAGUUCAUGGACUUGGUAGCGGAGCACAGUUCGUGUCACAUGAUAUUAGGAGAGUUGUACAAAGAUCCUUCAUCUCUGGCUAAUAUAAUAAAGAAAAGUGCGGAGUUUGUGUCACAUAUAGCUGGGGCUCCGAGUCGGACUCUUAGUACUUUGGUGACGGGCGCUAGUGGGUUGAGCAAAAAAUAAGAGAAAAUAUUUGCUCAGUUGUUAGGAAAACAUAGCACAUGACCAAAAAUGAAGAGUUCUAUUUUAUGAUUUAAUCAUAUAUUUUUUGGGGUGUUACAGUUAAUAUUUUGCUCUUGAGUUAAACAAUUCCAACACAUCGAAUAUUAGUAUCACAAUAUCGCAUCUUAAUUCCUGACAUCAACAAUUCAGAUAUAUAGAAAUAGUUCACCCAUGGCAUGUGCGCGUAACACAACGCCUAGCAAUUCAGCUACAAAAAAGCGGUUAAACAAAUUUAGAAACAAAGAAAAAGUCAUCAGUUCAGUAAUUGAAUAAGCCUCAGACCAUGUAGAAAAACUAUGAUAUUUUCUAGACAUAAUUACCAAUGGUCCUCAAUUAAACCACCAAAGAAAACAAUUGUACGGUUAGUAAAGAUGAACAUUCAUAUUUUAGUAAUCAUGACUAACCUAUGAGGGGCAUAUGUUAUAGGUGGGUGGGAUGAUGAUCCCACGGCAGAAGAUGGAAUCAAAUGGUCAAAAAUUUAAACUGUCUCAAGUGUCAUACAAAUUUAGUUCAGUUUUUACUAAAAACAAUCUAAUUAAUUAGUCCGAGAGACUAAAUGCUUUAGUUUUUAACAAUUGGGGGUAAAUGACCAUUUGUAAACAUUUGAUAUAGUUGAAAUUGUGAGCACACGAAAGGACGGAAAAUAUUUUUUUUUCAAGAAAUCUACACUUCAAUUUUUUUACCAUUUGGCAUAAAGCCAAAGGCAACUGCAAGAUUUGUUCCUUUAAAAACUUUACUUGUCUGACGCCGUGUGUGGGCUUCUUAUUGAUCUUCUAAUCAGCAUCUCCUUGAGAGAUCCAGCGCUUGGUAUGACGUUGUUUAAUUGGCAAGUGCUCCAACGCAUGCAUCCCACUUUCCUUCUUUACGUUUCCUUCUACUUUCUUUCUCUCUCCUCCUAUUUUUUCCUCUUUCCUCUUUAUUAUUUCCUUAUUUUUUCUUCCUCUCUCAUUUAUUCUUUCAUUCUAUCAGUUUCUUACGCAUGCAUCCCUCUUUCCGUAUUUAUUUCUCCUUUCUAUUUUCUUUCUCUUUCCUUUAUUCUUUCCUCCAAUUUCCUCUGUAUUUUCCUGUCACACCUGAAAUCCCUAAUUCCUUCUUCAUUCUUUCUCUUUCCUUCCUUAUUACGGUACAUCUAUUUCCUUAUUAAUUCCCGAGACGCCUUCUUAAUGGCUAGAAAAAUCCAGGGCGUAUCUCUAUCUCUACUACCUAAAAGAAACAGAGUGUUCCGUUUCCCCUCUUACGUUGCCCCCUCUUCGUCCAACCUCUCGUACGACCCCCUCUCCUUUGUAGCGAUUUUCUUUCCCCCUGCACCGGUUUUCUCCCUGCCGGUUUUAUCAUCAUCACGUAAGGUAACCAGACGCAAUCAAUUUGUCACUGGAUGGAAUGUUUAGUAUACGAUACAAUACAAUAAAACGGAGCGAUAUCUCUGGCGAUUUUCUUGCUCCCGAUAUUUCUGCAUGCGAUAGUGUAAUGGUGCUAGCAUCAGAAGGAGGCAAUCACGUGUAUGUAGGGAAUAUAAUCACGGAGAUUGCAGGGCAGUUAAGGCCGUGUCUCACAUGCAGGAAGGAAUUCCCGAAUUCAGCGGAAGAGAAGACGACGUCUGCCUCAAGAUCGCCUCAAGAUCGUCCUCUAGAUCACAUGCAGGAAGGAAUUCCCGAAUAAACAAGUUUUGUUUUUUUCGGACAAACCAGGAUCAAUCUUUGGUAACACAUUCAAUUCUCACAUGGUAAUCAAUCUCUUCUUUGUCAAUGCAUAACGCAAUCAAUUCUCACAUGGUGAUCACGGGCAUAUUCUUCGCUUCCUUAUCUUGGUUUAUUUCUUGCCUUUUCUGCGUGCUGAUUUUUUCUCUCCAUAAAUAUCUCUCCCUUCCUUAUCUAGGGUACCUGCAUCGUGGAUAUAUAGGAUCCCGCUCGCACCGCGCCGGGAGGCCACCAUCCUCCUCGAGGAGAAUCGGCCGGAGCACCAUGACCAAGGUAAAAUCAUGGUGUUGUCCAGUACUCGCCUCGAGUCUACAACAACAAUGCAGGACACUAGAGGCCCACCUAACCCGCAUCGCCUCUGCGCACCUACGUUGAUUGUCGCCGCAGAGCCCUUUUCUCCAAGUAGACGGCGGCGCGACAGAGGUCCUCAAUGUUUUAUAAUUUUCUGCUGUGUUUCGUAUCUGCUUGAUUGCCAUUUGUAAUGUACUUUUUCCUUGGUAUUUUUUUUGAAACGGAGGCAAAAGCUUUGCCUCAUCCAUUAAAUAAGAGAGAAUAGAGUUUGUUACAAAUCACCCACGACACCACAUGGAUUAUUACUCUCGCGAUAUGAAAGACCCUAAUUUUUUUGCACCGGCGGUGACCCAAAGGUUGGCCUCGGUCGAGAUGGUGUUAAGCAAGAUAGUCGGUGGAGCGCUUUUAAACCUAAACACUCUUGCAUUUCGCUCAUUCCAAAUUGUCCAUGUCACAAGCAUGGUGAGCGAGGCUUUGGCUUGACGGUUUGGCGUGCCGGCGUCACAAGUGCUUGUCCACCAAGCGUUGACGGAGUCCAACAAGCGCCAUGAAGAGGUGACCAACCCGAAGAUGUGAAAUUUUUCAAUGACCAACGCCCACAACCUUAGAGUAUAGCGGCACUUGAAGAAUAGGUGUGACCCGCUUUCUUGCACCCUCUUGCAAAGUGGACACAAACCACAAUUUGGCCAUCCUCUCUUGGCUAAUCUGUCUGCGGUCCAAAUUCUAUCUUGAAGUGCCAACCAAGCAAAGAACUUUACUUUGGGGGGACCCCAGACCUUCCAAACCAUUUGGUCCAUGGGUGAAAACACCAUCCCUAUGAAUUGCGCCUUAUAUGCCGAGGCCGCCGAGUAGUGCCCACUAGUCGUGUGUUUCCAUAAAAUGUCGUCCUCGGCGAGCACAUCAAGAUGCACCUCAUCCAAUAGCAUCCAAAGGGUGAAAAAUUGUGUGAUGAACUCAACGGAAAUAAUGGUUGGAGGCUUGAUCUUGAGCAUCCACGCGUUGUGCUUGAUGGCCUCGCGCACUUUCCACUUCUUUCGCGAGGAGACUUCGAAUAUUAGUGGCGCAAUGUUCUUCGGCUUGCGCCCAAGAAGCCAAGGUGAUUCCCAAAAAGGUGUCUUCGCACCAUUGCCCACGGUGAUAGUGGUAGACGCAUAGAAAAAGUUAAGGUCCUCCUCAUUGCACGGGUUGCCCAUCCCCACCCACAACUUGGUGGGCUCCUUCCAUUCAUACCAAGGCCACCGCAGCCGCAGAGCACGCGCGAACUUUUCCAUGUUGAGUACCCCAAGCCCCCCAUACUCAACUGGCCUACAGACAAUUUCCCAAUUCACCUUGCAUUUCGCCCCCGUCGUGUUGUCCGAGCCAGACCAUAGGAAAGCUCUCUCGAGCUGGUUGACUUUGAAGAGGAUACUUGGUGGGAUGAUCAACGGUGUGAUGAAGUAGAUCACUUGGGAAGUGAGAACAGACUUGACAAGGGCCAUGCGCCCAAUGGUGGUGAUGUUUUGGCCCUCAUACGUUGUCAACUUGGAUGCAACCUUGUCCACAAGAAAUUGAAGAUCCACUAAUCUUAGCUUCCAAACAGAGAGGGGGAGCCCCAAGUACCUCAAGGGGAAAGAAGCCCUAGUUGCCGGCAGAUUUUGAGUGAUAUGAUCAAAGUCAAGAUUAUUGCAACGAAUGGGCACCAUCGAACUCUUAUGAAAGUUGGUGCAAAGUCCCGUGACCUCGCCAAAUCCUCUCAAAAUAUUAGCAAGAUUGUCAACAUCCUUUUUGAUCGGAGCCAGGAAGAUGGCUGCAUCAUCCGCAUAAAGGGAGGUUCGCAUCAUGGCACCCCUACCCCGAAUUUUGUGGAGGAGCCCCUUUCGCGUAGCCACAUCAAGGAUUCUUUGGAGCGGGUCAAUGGCGAUGACGAACAGGAGCGGGGAGAUGGGGUCCCCUUGCCGGAAACCACGACCAUGCUUGAUUGGGUUGCCGGCAAUGCCAUUGAGGAUAAUCCUCGAUGAUGAAGAACUAAGAAGCGCCGUGAUCCAAUCCCUAAACUUGCUUGGGAAACCUCGCCGUUGGAGAAGGUCCAGUAUAUAUUCCCAUUUGACCGAGUCGAAUGCCUUGCGAAUAUAUAAUUUGAAAAGGAGGGAUGGGGUCUUGCUCUUGUGCAGGCGUCGUGCAAGAUUGCGAACAUACAUGAAGUUAUCAUGAAUACUUCUCGUUUUGAUGAAGGCGCUUUGGGCAUUGGAGAUGAGGGCCGUCAUGUGCGGAGUGAGCCGAGUGGAGAGCACCUUUGCAAUAAUCUUGGCGAUCGCAUGGAUAAGACUAAUAGGCCUAUAGUCCGCAAUCCCCUCCGCCCCAUCCUUUUUUGGCAAGAGCACCACAUUCGCAGAGUUGAGCCAGUGGAGGUUCAAAGUGUGGAGGGAUUCGAAACGAGCAAUGGCCCUCAUGAGGUCGUGCUUGACAGUGCCCCAACACUUUUUGAAGAAUAGGCCCGUGAAUCCAUCCGGACCCGGGGCCUUGUCAUUUGGCAUGUCGUUGAUUGCUUGAAGAACCUCCAUUUCGGUCAUUGGAGAGUCAAGGCCAUGCAUGUCAAGGCGUUCCAUAUUGAGCUCCUCCCAAUUGAAAUCUUUUGAAAUUUUUCCUUGGUAUAGUUACGGGGAUCUGCAUGAUGGCAAGCUAGCCUGCAUGAUGCAGUCAUGUAAGAUACGUGCAAUGGCCUGAUGGGAGCUAGCUUGUUUCUUAAUUGCUUCAUUGUUCAUCUUCCUCUUUGUCAGGGUCAUCCCAUGAAUAUAUUGAUUAUAUUUCUCAAAAAAAUCAGGCUCUCAAUACGCACUGAUUAUUCUCUGUAUUGCAGAAAACGUAAAUCAUUUGCGAGCUAGAAGGAACUCAUCAUUCUAAGUCUCCGGUUGUACUCUUAGUUAGGUCAGAAAAAAAUUGUAACUAUCCUUUUAAGACUAGCACUAUUUAUAUUCCCAUGCUUUUUCGAGCAUAUACUAUCUGAGUUGGUUAAUUCUUUUCAAAACUUUCUUCUUUUUAAGUUGUGAUGCAAUGCCACUGUCCAUUGUUUUGGUCACAAGAAUUUAUUAUUUAGUUUUUUUGGAACGAAGGCUCCAGAAGAGCCCGGCUUUGAAUUAACAAAGCCAUCAACCGGCCAGGACUUACAACGACCCAAACAACAAGAAAGAAAACAAAGAAAACUGAAAACGGCAGAUACAAGGUGCUUCCAAACAGCUUACACACACCACAACAGAGAGCACAAGGAUAUUCUACCGGAAGUCUAGCUAAAUGUUGAUGGAGCUCUUCGACGCGAAUUAAGCACCAAAACAGUGACAGCAAGCGAGCUUCAAGAGGAAAUCACGCUCAGCAAAGAUGAACAUGCCCUCAUCAAACCCAAAGGAGACCACCAUCAUCGAACCUUCCUUCUUCAAUUCCGAAGGGGACCCCUGCCCCUCGCCCUGGAUCGAAGGGCGCCGGGCCGUCGCAAAUUGAAGCAGCUCACCCUAGAGCAAGGAGCGGUAGAUUCAGUAUCGCCUUGGGAGAUACUCAGUGUGACCAACCCACUAUGCAAGAUCACCAAGAGAAGGGCCAAACCGCAGCUCAAUGGUCACCACACGAAGAGAAGAAGCUGUAGAAGGACGAGGGCAACGAAGAAACAAUCGCAGAGUUGAUAAACACCUGAAGCUGAGACAUGACUUUUGCUUAGAUUAGAAUCCAUGUCUGAAUCGCCUAUGCCGUGCUGCUGCAUGCAGGGGAGAGGAACCCUAUCCCCUCCCCCCACCAUGGCAACACACAAACGGCCGGCCUACGGACACCCCAGAGAGCUAAUAUUGUGAAAAAUCUCAGUGUUAUCUCCAACUGAGAUGUCGCUGCGCGCCGGAGAACCACAUCUAAACGCCAAUGAACAUCCCCAACUCGCCCAAGACGACACCUUCAGGAAGGUGACGACGCAAGCCGCGCCGCUGCCGCCUAGACCAGAACUGGCAAAGGUUUUCACCCGGGUAUGAGAGGGGAGGGAGAGGGGAUCGAACCUCGACGGCGCCUUCGAGAAGGGGAACGAUGCCAGCCGGCGUCACCGCCGUCGUGGCUGGAAAAGCCGGUCAAAGAUUUCUCCCGGUCCGAGCUCUCAACUCCGGCAACCCCACUUUCAACGGAUCCGGCGACCGACGCCCGCCACGACCCAGAUCCAGCGAGGAACAGGCAAGGGAAGGGGGAGGAAGAAGACCUCCAGAUUUGACGCACAGCCAGGGGCACGAGGCCACCCGCCUCGACCAUCGCACAACGCCUCAACCACUCACCGCCCGCACGGCCAAGUGGGGAGGAGGAGCACCAGCAGACGCUGCUCGCCGCAAAGCAGGCGCCGCCGCACCAUCCGAGGCCACUGCCUCGGCUACAUAGGCCCUCCGCGUGGAGACGGAGCGGCACGGCCUCGCCGCCACCUUCCCUGGCAGGUNNNNNNNNNNNNNNNNNNNNNNNNNNNNNNNNNNNNNNNNNNNNNNNNNNNNNNNNNNNNNNNNNNNNNNNNNNNNNNNNNNNNNNNNNNNNNNNNNNNNNNNNNNNNNNNNNNNNNNNNNNNNNNNNNNNNNNNNNNNNNNNNNNNNNNNNNNNNNNNNNNNNNNNNNNNNNNNNNNNNNNNNNNNNNNNNNNNNNNNNNNNNNNNNNNNNNNNNNNNNNNNNNNNNNNNNNNNNNNNNNNNNNNNNNNNNNNNNNNNNNNNNNNNNNNNNNNNNNNNNNNNNNNNNNNNNNNNNNNNNNNNNNNNNNNNNGGCUAGGGUUGCGUCGCCGCCCGCGUCGCCCCGUGCGGACCGAGAAAAGUUAUUUGUAUGUAUGCGAUGAUUCGAAUUUAUUAUUUAGUCUAGCAUGGUCUUAUGUAUUUGCAUGAUUGUGCCCAGUAUUAAGGUUAGUUUCCUGAUAAAUGAAAAAAGGGCUUGUUUGGCUAUUAAGAUACAUAAUAACAUGAUGAGGCCAUGCUUGUGCAUCAUCAGUUCAUCACUAAUAAUAUUCAUUGUGGCCAUGUAUGUAUAUUAUUUUGGAAGAAUAAUAAUUGGGAAAAUAUUUGUCGAGGACAAUUGGAGAGAAGGAUUGAUGACAAUAUUCCAUUCAUGGCGAGCCAAAAGUAGAAUGAGGGCAGAACAUGCAUUUGCAUGUGUGGUAACUCAGGGAAAGAUAAAUGGAUUAUUUAUUUAUAUGUGUCGUUUGAGCUAUACAUAUCUACAUUUCUAUGGCAACGCAUGGGCAAUUACCUAGUAUAAAUUAGAAAGAUUGGAUUUAAGCGAGCAAUGUAGGACUAUUUAAUAGGCUUAUCAACGUUACAAUAUCACACAGUUUGAGCUGUAUGAGUCGGUCGUGACAAUUGUUGUUGUACAUGAGGUUGAGAGUUCGAGGUGCACACCAGGCACUAUUUUUUUUUUCACUGGGCCGCCUUGCUGGGCCCGAACAAUUUGGCCUAUCCCAAUAGAAGCACCUGUGCGUGGAAAAUCAUAAACAAAAAAUAGUACCACCUUGGAUAAUAAAAAAUCUUUAAAAAAUAAAUAAUAAUAUGGGUGAACGGAUGAAAAAAGUUGGCGAAACACACCUGUUUUAUUAGUAGGUAUAGGUAUAGAUAUAGAUAUAGAUAUAGAUUUAGAGCCAUAAUAUAGGCUCAGAAGCUCACAUUCACUAUAUUACGUGGCAAUUUCCAAAGAGAAAAAACCCAAGUGUGCUAACAUUUUUUACGGAAGAUAUUUCUUUCCAUUUCAUUAACGAAACCCCCGCAUGUCCUUACAAGAUACAAACUGCUAAAAGAGCCAUGAAGGCCUUUAAUUUGAAAUUUUCAAAAUCCUAUUUUUUCAGUUUCACAAAAUUCUGAAAAACAACACAGAUGUAUGCAAGGAUGUAAUGUGUUUGUGUGUAAAAUUUCAGUAUGAAAUUUCUUGAUUUACGAGCUGCAAAAAAAUUAUGGACUAUGAGGAUGAACAAUACAUAUGCUAAAAGCCCUAGGUUAGCCCAGGCAAAGGAAACAGAUACUAUCUUUCUCUCAGUUUACAGGGCGUGUGCGUGCCCCUAGAUCGUCAAUUUGACCAACCUAAUACAAGUCAUAUAUUAUAAAAAAUAUACCAAUAUAAACUUCAGAUGUUCUAUUUUCAAAUCGUAUAAUUUUUGUGUUAUAUAGUUUAUAUUAAAAUGAUAAAAUUAACAAUCUAGGUAUACACGUAGGACUUGUAAAUUGAAACGGAGAUAGUAGAUCAAUUUUUUACUUCACUUACCAAGGAGAUUAGUUAUCUUAUGAAUCUUCGUACUUGUUGUAUUACUCAUGUAGCCCGCUUACAAAAUAGAGUUACUGAUAGUCUAGCAAAUUUUGACGAAGAACCAUGCCUUGGGUAGGUUCUGGCCUGAUGAGUCUCUAGCGCUAGCUGCUGAUCAGCUGAUGAUUGUAAGGACUUGGUGAAUUGAGUAAUACAAUUAUUUCACCUGAAAAAAAAC
rnacentral:lncRNA from 1 species